rnacentral:rRNA from 1 species
CCUACGGGUGACAGCAGUGAGGAAUAUUGGUCAAUGGACGAGAGUCUGAACCAGCCAAGUAGCGUGAAGGAUGACUGCCCUAUGGGUUGUAAACUUCUUUUAUAUGGGAAUAAAACGUUCCACGUGUGGGAUUUUGUAUGUACCAUAUGAAUAAGGAUCGGCUAACUCCGUGCCAGCAGCCGCGGUAAUACGGAGGAUCCGAGCGUUAUCCGGAUUUAUUGGGUUGAAAGGGAGCGUAGGUGGAUUGUUAAGUCAGUUGUGAAAGUUUGCGGCUCAACCGUAAAAUUGCAGUUGAAACUGGCAGUCUUGAGUACAGUAGAGGUGGGCGGAAUUCGUGGUGUAGCGGUGAAAUGCUUAGUUAUCACGAAGAACUCCGAUUGCGAAGGCAGUUCACUGGACUGAAACUGACACUGAGGCUCGAAAGUGUGGGUAUCAAACAGGAUUAGAUACCCGAGUAGUC